UACGUAGGGUGCGAGCGUUAAUCGGAAUUACUGGGCGUAAAGCGUGCGCAGGCGGCUUGCCAAGUCAGAUGUGAAAGCCCCGGGCUCAACCCGGGAACGGCGUUUGAAACUGGCAGGCUAGAGUUUGGCAGAGGGGGGUGGAAUUCCACGUGUGAGCAGUGAAAUGCGUAGAGAUGUGGAGGAACACCGAUGGCGAAGGCAGCCCCUGGGCCAAAACUGACGCUCAGGCACGAAAGCGUGG
rnacentral:rRNA from 1 species